GAAUAUCAUUAGUAUAUUAAUUUUAUUUCAGUCAACAUGAAACUGUCAAGAACAAAACGAAGAAUUUACGCUCUGUAUACAUGUGUUACCAUUAGUACUACCAUCCCCUAAUAAAAAGAAGAAUCCAUUCCCAAAUUUCUUCUUCUUUCGCCGAUGAACUUUAAAAAUGUGUCUACGUUCCGCAGAAGGAGACUGAAUUGUUGGAUUUGAGCGGCUUUUAAUUCUUAUUGGAUUAAAAUUAAACGCGUCUUAAAAUGCGUUUAGAAGAGCAACCAA